AUUGAACGCUGGCGGCAUGCCUUACACAUGCAAGUCGAACGGUAACGCGGGGCAACCUGGCGACGAGUGGCGAACGGGUGAGUAACACAUCGGAACGUGCCCAGUAGUGGGGGAUAGCCCGGCGAAAGCCGGAUUAAUACCGCAUACGACCUAAGGGUGAAAGCAGGGGAUCGCAAGACCUUGCGCUAUUGGAGCGGCCGAUGUCAGAUUAGGUAGUUGGUGGGGUAAAAGCCUACCAAGCCGACGAUCUGUAGCUGGUCUGAGAGGACGACCAGCCACACUGGGACUGAGACACGGCCCAGACUCCUACGGGAGGCAGCAGUGGGGAAUCUUGCGCAAUGGGCGAAAGCCUGACGCAGCGACGCCGCGUGAGUGAUGAAGGCCUUC
rnacentral:rRNA from 1 species